rnacentral:rRNA from 1 species
GAGUUUGAUCCUGGCUCAGAACGAACGCUGGCGGCGCGUUUUAAGCAUGCAAGUCGGACGGCAAGGGCUGUAGCAAUAUGGCCCCUAGAGUGGCGAACGGGUGAGUAACACGUAGGUGAUCUACCUCUGGGUGGGGGAUAGCCCGUGGAAACACGGGGUAAUACCGCAUGAGGCCUUGUGGGUAAAGCCAUGAGGUGAAAGGUGCAGCUUGCACCGUCUGGGGAUGAGCCUGCGGUCCAUUAGUUAGUUGGCGGGGUAACGGCCCACCAAGACGACGAUGGAUAGCCGGCCUGAGAGGGUGUACGGCCACACUGGAACUGAGACACGGUCCAGACUCCUACGGGAGGCAGCAGCUAAGAAUCUUCCGCAAUGGGGGAAACCCUGACGGAGCGACGCCGCGUGGAUGAUGAAGGCCGUAAGGUUGUAAAAUCCUUUUGUCGGUGAAGAAUAAGGAGGGGAGUGGAAAGCCCUUCUGAUGACGUUAGCCGACGAAUAAGCCUCGGCUAAUUACGUGCCAGCAGCCGCGGUAAUACGUAUGGGGCAAGCGUUGUUCGGAUUUAUUGUGCGUAAAGGGCGUGCAGGCGGCUCAUCAAGUCUGGUGUGAUAAAUGCAGGGCCUAACUCUGCAUAUG